GUUUGCCUUUCUCAGCUGCAGCUGCUUACAGAAGCUGUGGAGAAAAGCAUGGGGGCAGGAAGGAAAGGCACUGAGAAAAGCACUCGCAGGACCCACAGCUGACAGCAGAGCAGCUAGGAAGCUUUUAGGAUUCCUACUGUGUGGGUUCAGAGGGAGAUGAGCUGGGAAGUGGGGAGAGGUGACAUCGUGGCUCUGAAUCCUCUCCAGCAAUCUGCUCUAACAUUCUGACAAGGACCUGCCAGAAGAGGGCUGGAGACUCCGGGCAGAUCCCUGAGACGGAUGAUAACCGUCAGACAAACAGUGCACGAGUCUGAUGCCAGCGCAGCCUGAUGCAACACCUCUGUGCCUCUGCUCCAGGAUGUGCUGUGCCCUGCAGCCCGUACCUCUCCUUGCAGCUCUUUAUACAGACCGCUGUCUCUCUGAAAGCGCCCUGCAGAGUGAGCUCAGCCUACAAAAAUCACAAAGAAAGAAAAACUUCACACCCUGCAAGGUGACAAGAGACACGGGAAAGCUCACACCCACCGGCACACGCUGCCUGUGCCCGGCCCUGUGAAGUGUCAGCUCCAGCACCGGCCCUAACGAGCUGCUGAGGUGUUGGGUCCCACCCUGUGUCUGUUUAUCUGUGCCUUGUUGUAGUGGCAGUGUGUCCCACGGUCCUCUUGUCUGGGGAAGGGACGUGGUGCUCCUCCAGCAUGGCUGCAGCUCUUGAUUAUGAGCUUCUGUUUGCAGGCAUGUGAGUGAUGGCACAAAUCUCUGCCUCUCUGUGCAUGGCAGUGCCACUCCUCACUGUGCCAUGCACUGUGGGAGUGCAGCUGAGGCCAAGGCCUCCUGCUCCCUCCUCGGGACUUCCCUCUUCCCUUUGAGGAGUGGGGAUGAAAGGCGGCACGGUGGAAGCAUGAAGCUCGCCUGGUUUAUUUUACUUAUAACUGGCGUCUGCUUGAAAGGAAGCCAGCCCUAUCAGCUCCAGCACCACCAGGUUAAAUGAGUAAAUGAAAGAGGAGUUUUGCGUA